rnacentral:rRNA from 1 species
AUGAACGCUGGCGGCGUGCCUAAUACAUGCAAGUCGAGCGAACAGACGAGGAGCUUGCUCCUCUGACGUUAGCGGCGGACGGGUGAGUAACACGUGGAUAACCUACCUAUAAGACUGGGAUAACUUCGGGAAACCGGAGCUAAUACCGGAUAAUAUAUUGAACCGCAUGGUUCAAUAGUGAAAGACGGUUUUGCUGUCACUUAUAGAUGGAUCCGCGCCGCAUUAGCUAGUUGGUAAGGUAACGGCUUACCAAGGCGACGAUGCGUAGCCGACCUGAGAGGGUGAUCGGCCACACUGGAACUGAGACACGGUCCAGACUCCUACGGGAGGCAGCAGUAGGGAAUCUUCCGCAAUAGGCGAAAGCCUGACGGAGCAACGCCGCGUGAGUGAUGAAGGUCUUCGGAUCGUGAAACUCUGUUAUUAGUGAAGAACAAAUGUGUAAGUAACUAUGCACGUCUUGACGGUACCUAAUCAGAAAGCCACGGCUAACUACGUG